rnacentral:rRNA from 1 species
AACGAACGCUGGCGGCAGGCUUAACACAUGCAAGUCGAGCGCCCCGCAAGGGGAGCGGCAGACGGGUGAGUAACGCGUGGGAAUCUACCCAUCUCUACGGAAUAACGCAUGGAAACGUGUGCUAAUACCGUAUACGUCCUUCGGGAGAAAGAUUUAUCGGAGAUGGAUGAGCCCGCGCUGGAUUAGCUAGUUGGUGGGGUAAAGGCCUACCAAGGCGACGAUCCAUAGCUGGUCUGAGAGGAUGAUCAGCCACACUGGGAGUGAGACACGGCCCAUACUCCUACGGGAGGCAGCAGUGGGGAAUAUUGGACAAUGGGCGCAAGCCUGAUCCAGCCAUGCCGCGUGAGUGAUGAAGGCCCUAGGGUUGUAAAGCUCUUUCACCGGUGAAGAUAAUGACGGUAACCGGAGAAGAAGCCCCGGCUAACUUCGUGCCAGCCGCCGCCGUAAUAC